GAGCGGAUGUAGCAAUACAUCAGCGGCAGACGGGUGAGUAACACGUGGGAACGUACCUUUUGGUUCGGAACAACACAGGGAAACUUGUGCUAAUACCGGAUAAGCCCUUACGGGGAAAGAUUUAUCGCCGAAAGAUCGGCCCGCGUCUGAUUAGCUAGUUGGUGAGGUAAUGGCUCACCAAGGCGACGAUCAGUAGCUGGUCUGAGAGGAUGAUCAGCCACAUUGGGACUGAGACACGGCCCAAACUCCUACGGGAGGCAGCAGUGGGGAAUAUUGGACAAUGGGCGCAAGCCUGAUCCAGCCAUGCCGCGUGAGUGAUGAAGGCCCUAGGGUUGUAAAGCUCUUUUGUGCGGGAAGAUAAUGACGGUACCGCAAGAAUAAGCCCCGGCUAACUUCGUG
rnacentral:rRNA from 1 species